rnacentral:rRNA from 1 species
UACGGAGGGGGCUAGCGUUGCUCGGAAUCACUGGGCGUAAAGCGCACGUAGGCGGAUUGUUAAGUCAGGGGUGAAAUCCUGGAGCUCAACUCCAGAACUGCCUUUGAUACUGGCGAUCUUGAGUCCGGGAGAGGUGAGUGGAACUGCGAGUGUAGAGGUGAAAUUCGUAGAUAUUCGCAAGAACACCAGUGGCGAAGGCGGCUCACUGGCCCGGUACUGACGCUGAGGCACGAAAGCGUGGGGAGCAAACAGG